rnacentral:rRNA from 1 species
UUGACCUCGAAUCAGGCGGGACUACCCGCUGAACUUAAGCAUAUCAAUAAGCGGAGGAAAAGAAACUAACAAGGAUUCCCCUAGUAACUGCGAGUGAAGCGGGAUGAGCUCAAAUUUAAAAUCUGGCGUCUUCGGCGUCCGAGUUGUAAUUUAGAGAAGCGUUUUCCGCGCCGGACCGUGUACAAGUCUCCUGGAACGGAGCGUCAUAGAGGGUGAGAAUCCCGUCUUUGACACGGACCCCCGGUGCUCUGUGAUACGCUCUCGAAGAGUCGAGUUGUUUGGGAAUGCAGCUCAAAAUGGGUGGUGAACUCCAUCUAAAGCUAAAUAUUGGCGAGAGACCGAUAGCGAACAAGUACCGUGAGGGAAAGAUGAAAAGCACUUUGGAAAGAGAGUGAAACAGUACGUGAAAUUGUUGAAAGGGAAACGCUUGAAGUCAGUCGCGUUCGCCGGGAUUCAGCCUUACGGUGUACUUUCCGGUGAACGGGCCAGCAUCACUUUUGAUCAUCGGAAAAGGGCAUUGGGAAUGUGGCACCUUCGGGUGUGUUAUAGCCCUUUGUCGUAUACGGUGGACGGGAGUGAGGAAUGCCUUUGUAGGAUGCUGGCGUAAUGGCUUUAAACGACCCGUCUUGAAACACGGACCAAGGAGUCUAACAUGCCCGCGAGUGUUUGGGUGGAAAACCCAUGCGCGUAAUGAAAGUGAAAGUUGGGAAGGCUGUCGCGGCCUGCACCGACGCCCGGA